rnacentral:rRNA from 1 species
GACGAACGCUGGCGGCGUGCUUAACACAUGCAAGUCGAACGGUGACGAGGAGCUUGCUCCUCUGAUCAGUGGCGAACGGGUGAGUAACACGUGAGCAACCUGCCCCAGACUCUGGGAUAACAGUUGGAAACAGCUGCUAGUACCGGAUACGAGACGGAGAGGCAUCUCUACCGUCUGGAAAGUUUUUCGGUCUGGGAUGGACUCGCGGCCUAUCAGCUAGUUGGUGAGGUAAUGGCUCACCAAGGCGACGACGGGUAGCCGGCCUGAGAGGGCGACCGGCCACACUGGGACUGAGACACGGCCCAGACUCCUACGGGAGGCAGCAGUGGGGAAUAUUGCACAAUGGGCGAAAGCCUGAUGCAGCGACGCCGCGUGAGGGAUGAAGGCCUUCGGGUGUAAACCGUCUUUCAGCAGGGAAGAAGCGAAAGUGACGGUACCUGCAGAAGAAGCACCGGCUAACUACGUGCCAGCAGCCGCGGUAA